CCGGCGCACGGGUGAGUAACACGUAUCCAACCUGCCGUCUACUCUUGGACAGCCUUCUGAAAGGAAGAUUAAUACAAGAUGGCAUCAUGAGUCCGCAUGUUCACAUGAUUAAAGGUAUUCCGGUAGACGAUGGGGAUGCGUUCCAUUAGGUUGUUGGUGGGGUAACGGCCCACCAAGCCUUCGAUGGAUAGGGGUUCUGAGAGGAAGGUCCCCCACAUUGGAACUGAGACACGGUCCAA
rnacentral:rRNA from 1 species